AUUGAACGCUGGCGGCAGGCUUAACACAUGCAAGUCGAGCGAGCGGCGGACGGGUGAGUUAUGUCUGGGAAACUGCCUGAUGGAGGGGGAUAACCACUGGAAACGGUAGCUAAUACCGUAUUCCCACAGAUGUGCCCAGAUGGGAAUAGCUAGUAGGUGGGGUAAUGGCUAAUCUAGGCGACGAUCUCUAGCUGGUCUGAGAGGAUGACCAGCCACACUGGAACUGAGACACGGUCCAGACUCCUACGCGAGGCAGCAGUGGGGAAUAUUGCACAAUGGGCGCAAGCCUGAUGCAGCCAUGCCGCGUGUGUGAAGAAGGCCUUCGGGUUGUAAAGCACUUUCAGCGAGGAGGCGUUACUCGCAGAAGAAGCACCGGCUAACUCCGUGCCAGCAGCCGCGGUAAUUC
rnacentral:rRNA from 1 species